rnacentral:lncRNA from 1 species
UCGUAUGGAAAUUCUUCGGCGGACGGCAGAUAUCAGGUUCACCCCGUGCGACGCCGCUCCUACGCGCGACGCCGACGCCUCGAACGCGCCGCAAACGUAGACGACGGCAUUCCACGGCGCUGCGAAGCCAGCGAAGCGUCUUCGGCAUCGACACCGGACUCCGGACUCAAAAGAGAAGAACGCACUCGGCGACGGAACUCCGCGGCUCCGCAACACGGACUGAUAGGUGCCAGUGCGGUUGCUGCAUGCCGAUGGAGAUCGUCGUCAGGUUGUCUGCCGCCGGGUGUACACUGCCGCCGUACGCAAGCAGCAGGGCCGGCGCGCUGCGUGACGAACCACUUGGAUUUCGACUCGCUGUGCCCCAGCCGGGGUGUGCUAUGACUAGCUUUCCAUAAUAGACGCCACUAUGGGCAGAAGAAAAUGCGGGGCGACAAGGAACAACUGCGAGCCGCGGAUGAGGACCCCUCCAGCGACACGGAGUCGGAGUUGGGCUCCGGUCCGUCUUCGGUUGAGAUCCUGGCCCUCAAUGACCCUGCAGUGACCGUAUGUCUACCGCCCUCGAGUUGGUGAUGGAGCAUUUAGCAGCCGUCACGGGCGGGACCGGCGGCCAGCGGCAGUGCGAGCCAGAGGAGCUCGACGACCGCAAGUUCGUCGCCGACUUCGUGGCGGUGCUGGGCGUAUACGCAAGAGCGUCGAGCGCCUCGGACGCGUAGCGCCUCGGAUGCCUACGUGCUGAAGCGGAUCUUCCCCUUGCCUUGCCGGCGAGCGCGAGACGAUGGUCCUUCCCACUCAGGACGAAGAUGCAUUGGUGCGAAUAACUGGCAUUGUGGCCGACUGAUGUUGGGGAGCUCCGUCUACAGGUGUGCGAGAAGCUUGCAGAACAAAGGGUGCUUCUGGUACGCUGCCUAUAGGCAGUGGAUGCUAUGGUUGUGACUGCAACUGGGGCAGAGCAACAGGCGACCACUUGCCUCCUGCAUUGUGAAAACAAUGGGGGACUGACCGCCAGCGACACAUUUUCCGGGCUCCUGUGCCCUGAUUGUGCGACUGAAUA